rnacentral:lncRNA from 1 species
AAAUUUAGUUUUAUCAAACGUUUCGCUGGACCAAUUAAGAAGAGAGAAUCAGCCUCUUCUGAUAAAACUGGUGAAUGUUCGUUCAAUUCUAGUGAGGACUCAGACACUCCAAUCAACAGUGAAGAUGAUAUCCCCACUAAAUUUGCUACAGAAAGUCUUAAAACCCUCGACCCACGCCCCCAGAACAGAAACCUCAAAUGCAAAGCCACCAGCUCUGGCUCGAGCAAAAGUCUGCCGAACAAUGACACGAAUAGAUCUAAAAAUACUCCUUCUGAAGAUAAGAUUCCGUCCAACUCCAAGCAAGUAAAUAAUGCUCCUCCUAGUAAUAGUGAGACACCAAAUCUUGAUCAUAGUGAUAAGCCCUGUUCUGCCUCAAUUUUUGAUUGUAACAGUCAAUUUGAUAAUGAAGUGACUUCCAGUCAGGAUAUCCUCCCUGAUAUUCCCUUGAAAACGGACUAUAUCGUUCUCUCCCCAGUGAUGGAUGAUAUAAAUCAGUUGACUCCCGAUGACAUCGGUGCUUUGUCGCAAGGAGUUGUUAGUACCGAUGGAGGAAUUUUCGAUUCUGUUGCAUCCGGUUUCCAACGUUUGUCCCAAAGUCUCUUUGGAUCCCAAGAUAUAAAUUUUACCUCUUAAUCUCUCAAAGAUUCCAUAAUUGACUCUAUCUUAAUAUUACUAUUUUUAUAAAUUCCUUACACUGAAUCUCUUUUUAUUAAUAAUGGCGAAUUUCUGUUUCAUAGAAAGCUAGGUUUAAACUCUAACUCAAAUCGUUUCUUCAUGAUACAUAUUUUCAUUCUGUUUUUGUGUGUCAAAAAGAUAGUCAUCAAGGCCAUCAUGAUGUUCGCAACUUUUUCUAAAAUUAUGAUUUUUCGGUUUUUUUUUUCUAUUGUUCCCUACCUAAGUACCUUUCUUAGGAAGAAGCACUAAACUUGUAUUUAGUUUUGAAAUUAUGUAAGAGUUUCCUAAUAAUAUUAGUGUAAUAAGUUUUCUUAUCAAAUUCAUAAAGUUGUCACGACCAUUAUUUUAUCAUUUCCCAGAACUAUAACUUUCAGUAUUUUAUUAAUUUUUUUACUCUGUAUUUAGUUAUUUUUUUACUCAGUAUUUAAUUUUUUGUACUACUCCUUACGAAUUUUUGGUUACAAUAUUGUUAAAUGAAACACUAUGUGUUCAAGUAUGAAAAAAUAUUGUUAAAAUGAAACACUGUUCGUUCAAGUAUGAAAAGCAAACUCCCUCAGAGUACCUGACUUAGUUUGUAUUAACUUUCAGGUACUUAAAGCAACGAACCUGUGAAGGUAUGUUUCAACCACGUUUAUCUCCUACCUUUAAAUACAAGUGUCACAAUCAUCAUUUUAAAUAGUCUUUUCAGAUGUGCCUUUCAAAAUAAACAAAAUAUUUUCUUUGCUUAUUCCUUUGUCUCUCUCUCCUUGCAUCUAAGUUUAAGUAAGGAUAAUCAUCUAGCAAAUAAUAAUAUGAACCAAUAUUUGAGAUGUCCAGUUCCUCAGAGAGUGGUGAAAACAGGAACUAUUAUAUGUAUUUGGACUUUAUGAUGUUUCCCCUAAUUUUUUAAAAAGAAACUUAUCGAAAUCAUUCCCUAAAACUUAGAGUGGUUUUUUCUCGCACUUUUUAGAUUACUUCCCAAGAAUUUCUUUGGUGCUUUUUGCCCCCCCCCCUCUUGUAAUGAGAUCAGGUUACCCUUAUUUGUGAAAUACAUAUUUACUGCCUUCUGUUAAUAUUUAACAGCCUGGGAUGUCUUCCAUAUACAAACUUAGAACUUCUCUCAAGCUCUCAACUCUCAAAAUUUGUUGAUGCUCCUAGUAAAAAAUAACGUAAAAUGAGACCUUCAACUUCUUAAAGAAAUAGGUACCUAGUUCAAAUCAAUCUCUUUGAUCCCAAGUGUGCUCUUUCCAUUAUUUGUCCAUACUGUACCCACUGGUCCAGUGUACAGGGAAUAGAAGAG